GGAAGAUAUGAUCAGAGGUCUCCAGGUAAGGUAUAACUGGCCACAAACAGGCGAGGGGUUUAUCCUCCUUCGGCCCUGUCAGUGAAGCAAGAGGAAGGCCUUAAAAUAUAUUAUGGACACUUACCACGCUGUGCAUUGGUCCGAUCUCUCAUACUCCUCAUCAGAGGAAGAAGAAAACCGUUACAAUCUCUUCAUGUUUGAUGUGAUUUCAUUGCACCUUUUUUUGACUGAGACACUGUGAGAGGAGCACUGACUUGUCUUCUGAAUAAAUCAUUAUCAGACUGU